rnacentral:rRNA from 1 species
CAGCAGCCGCGGUAAUACGAGGGGGGCAAGCGUUGUUCGGAAUUAUUGGGCGUAAAGGGUGCGUAGGCGGCUUGACAAGUCUUGUGUGAAAUCUAUGGGCUCAACCCAUAGUCUGCACGGGAAACUGUCGGGCUUGAGAAUGGGAGAGGUGAGUGGAAUUUCCGGUGUAGCGGUGAAAUGCGUAGAUAUCGGAAGGAACACCUGUGGCGAAAGCGGCUCACUGGACCAUUUCUGACGCUGAUGCACGAAAGCUAGGGGAGCAAACAGGAUUAGAUACCCCCGUAGUCCCUGUCUCUUAUAC